rnacentral:rRNA from 1 species
UCUCGCGUCAGGAUAUGCCUAGGUGGGAUUAGCUAGUUGGUGAGGUAAGGGCUCACCAAGGCGACGAUCCCUAGCUGGUCUGAGAGGAUGAUCAGCCACACUGGAACUGAGACACGGUCCAGACUCCUACGGGAGGCAGCAGUGGGGAAUAUUGCACAAUGGGCGCAAGCCUGAUGCAGCCAUGCCGCGUGUGUGAAGAAGGCCUUCGGGUUGUAAAGCACUUUCAGUCGUGAGGAAGGUAGUUAGUUAAUAGCGGCAUUAUUUGACGUUAGCGACAGAAGAAGCACCGGCUAACUCCGUGCCAGCAGCCGCGGUAAUACGGAGGGUGCGAGCGUUAAUCGGAAUUACUGGGCGUAAAGCGCAUGCAGGUGGUUUGUUAAGUCAGAUGUGAAAGCCCGGGGCUCAACCUCGGAAUAGCAUUUGAAACUGGCAGACUAGAGUACUGUAGAGGGGGGUAGAAUUUCA